ensembl:misc_RNA Y_RNA Y RNA
UGCUAGGAUUACAGGCGUGAGCCACGGCACCCAGACCCCACUUACAGAUUUCUUUGUUCUUUCUCCAUUCCCACUGUUUCACUUGACUAGCAAAAA